GUCUCAGGCCGUAUCAGCCUGAAGGCGCCCGAUCUCGUCUGAUUUCGGAAGCUAAGCAGGGUCGGGCCUGGUUAGUAUCUUGGAUGGGAGACCACCUAGGAAUCCCGGGUGCUCGAGGCU
ensembl:rRNA 5S_rRNA 5S ribosomal RNA